UAAGCAUAUCAAUAAGCGGAGGAAAAGAACCAACAGGGAUUGCCCCAGUAACGGCGAGUGAAGCGGCAACAGCUCAAAUUUGAAAUCUGGCCCCCAGGGCCCGAGUUGUAAUUUGCAGAGGAUGCUUUGGGCGAGGUGCCUUCCGAGUUCCCUGGAACGGGACGCCACAGAGGGUGAGAGCCCCGUCUGGUCGUGCGCCAAGCCUGUGUAAAGCUCCUUCGACGAGUCGAGUAGUUUGGGAAUGCUGCUCAAAAUGGGAGGUAUAUGUCUUCUAAAGCUAAAUACCGGCCAGAGACCGAUAGCGCACAAGUAGAGUGAUCGAAAGAUGAAAAGCACUUUGAAAAGAGAGUUAAACAGCACGUGAAAUUGUUGAAAGGGAAGCGUUCAUGACCAGACUUGGCCCGGUUGAUCAUCCAGCGUUCUCGCUGGUGCACUCUGCCGGUCCAGGCCAGCAUCAGUUCGCCGCGGGGGACAAAGGUUUCGGGAAUGUGGCUCCUCGGAGUGUUAUAGCCCGUUGCGUAAUACCCUGCGGUGGACUGAGGUCCGCGCUUCUGCAAGGAUGCUGGCGUAAUGGUCAUCAACGACCCGUCUUGAAACACGGACCAAGGAGUCGUCUUCGUAUGCGAGUGUUCGGGUGUAAAACCCCUACGCGUAAUGAAAGUGAACGGAGGUGGGAGCCUCGGCGCACCAUCGACCGAUCCUGAUGUUCUCGGAUGGAUUUGAGUAAGAGCAUACGGGGCCGGACCCGAAAGAAGGUGAACUAUGCCUGUAUAGGGUGAAGCCAGAGGAAACUCUGGUGGAGGCUCGCAGCGGUUCUGACGUGCAAAUCGAUCGUCAAAUAUGGGCAUGGGGGCGAAAGACUAAUCGAACCUUCUAGUAGCUGGUUUCCGCCGA
rnacentral:rRNA from 1 species